rnacentral:rRNA from 1 species
GGGUGCGAUCAUACCAGCGUUAAUGCACUGGAUCCCAUCAGAACUCCGCAGUUAAGCGAGCUUGGGCCAGAGUAGUACUGGGAUGGGUGACCUCCCGGGAAGUCCUGGUGUUGCACCCU